CCUACGGGUGGCUGCAGUGGGGAAUAUUGGGCAAUGGGCGCAAGCCUGACCCAGCAACGCCGCGUGAGGGAAGAAGGCUUUCGGGUUGUAAACUUCUUUUGUCAGGGACGAAGCAAGUGACGGUACCUGACGAAUAAGCCACGGCUAACUACGUGCCAGCAGCCGCGGUAAUACGUAGGUGGCAAGCGUUAUCCGGAUUUACUGGGUGUAAAGGGCGUGUAGGCGGGACUGCAAGUCAGAUGUGAAAACCACGGGCUCAACCUGUGGCCUGCAUUUGAAACUGUAGUUCUUGAGUACGGGAGAGGCAGACGGAAUUCCUGGUGUAGGGGUGAAAUGCGUAGAUAUUAGGAGGAACACCAGUGGCGAAGGCGGUCUGCUGGACAGCAACUGACGCUGAGGAGCGAAAGCGUGGGGAGCAAACAGGAUUAGAUACCCGUGUAGUC
rnacentral:rRNA from 1 species